AUUGCUGAAGCUGAAGGAGAUGUUUAAGUCUAAGUUCGGAUCCUUUCCCAAGUUUUAUGUUCGAGCACCAGGAAGAGUCAACAUAAUAGGCGAACACAUAGAUUAUUGUGGCUAUUCUGUUCUUCCUAUGGCUGUAGAACAAGAUAUGUUAAUAGCUGUGGAACCUGUGAAGACUUACACUCUCCACCUGGCCAAUACAAAUCCCUUGUAUCCGGACUUCAGUACUAGUACCACUGACGUGCAGAUUGACAAAUCCAAGCCUCUGUGGCACAACUAUUUCCUGUGUGGAUUUAAAGGAGUUCAGGAGCACUUUGGCCUUAGUAACCCAACUGGGAUGAACUGCCUGGUAGAUGGAAAUGUCCCGCCAAGUUCCGGACUCUCCAGCUCCAGCGCUUUGGUCUGCUGUGCCGGAUUAGUGACACUCACCGUCCUGGGCAUGAAGCUGUCCAAGGUGGAACUUGCAGAAAUCUGUACCAAGAGCGAGCGUUAUAUUGGUACUGAAGGAGGAGGCAUGGACCAGUCCAUAUCCUUUCUUGCGGAAGAAGGAACUGCCAAGUUGAUAGAAUUUAAUCCUCUGAGGGCAACUGAUGUGAAGCUUCCCAGUGGAGCAGUGUUUGUGAUCGCCAACAGUUGUGUGGAAAUGAAUAAAGCAGCGACUUCCCACUUCAACAUCCGGGUGAUGGAGUGUCGGCUGGCUGCAAAGCUCCUGGCUAAGCACAAAAGCUUGCCGUGGGACAAAGUCCUGCGGUUGGAGGAGGUGCAGGCCCAGCUAGGGAUCAGCCUGGAGGAGAUGCUGCUGGUCACAGACGCCACCCUUCACCCGGAGCCCUACAGCCCCGAGGAGAUCUGCAGGUGCCUGGGAAUCAGUCUGGAGGAGCUGCGAACCCAAAUCCUGAGUCCAAACACUCGAGACGUGACCGUCUUCAAGCUGUACCAGCGGGCCAAGCAUGUGUACAGUGAGGCCGCCCGGGUGCUACAGUUCAGGAAAGUCUGCGAGGACAGCCCAGAGGAUGCAGUGGCACAGCUGGGGGAGCUGAUGAACCAGAGCCACCGCAGCUGCCGGGACCUGUACGAGUGCAGCUGCCCUGAGCUGGACCAGCUGGUGGACACCUGCCGGUGAGCAGUGCCUGGGUGGGGCGGGGGCCUUGGGGUCACCACGGAGCACUCUAGACACAAGCCAGAAAGACCAGCCCUUUCCUCGUCUCCUUUCUUUUGCCUUAAAACAUUUUUAAAUUUUACUUUUACAAUUUUCAUGACUGCAUGUUUGUGGUACACAGUGACAACACUUGUCUUCGGGAGUUGGUUCAUGCACAGAACACAGCUUAGUUCUUGUUGUUGUUUUUGCCCUUCCUCUGUGAGGACCUCCCUUGUAUCAUGCUGGUCUUGUUCUCUGCUUCUCAGCUGUAGGAUGGGAGAAUCCCAGCCCUGCUCUGUUCCAUCAUGAGGUGCCCAGUCUGGGUGUCACUGUGGCGCCAGGCUGCCCCUGUACUCCCUAUGUAGCCCAGCCCGGCCUUGAACUUGCUGCCGUCCUCCUGAGUGCUGGGAUUACAGCCUGUGCCACCACGCACCUCAGGAGUCAGUUCUUUACAGCCCUGUAGGAGAGACUUUCCCACGUGGGUGAGAGGCCUUUCAGUAAGGCAGCUUUUCUCAGGCCCUGCCAUUCUCUGCUCAUGACAUUUUAAUGACCAGGCUGCGGCCGUGCCAGCUGUCCUAGUAGUUUUGGGCCUGACAGGAUGAGGGUCACUGCAGGAGACUCAGAAGCAGGCACAUUCUACCUUCCAGGGUUGGUUGAGGCAAUCUGGGGGCAAAGGGGACUGAACAAAGUACAGUGGAUAGAUGGUCUAUUGAGACAGACAUAUAAAGUGUGCUCACAAAACCCGGAAAGAGCUUCCUUGCAGCUGUGACAGAAUGGCGACAACAGAGUGAUUCCCUCACCUCAGAGGCAUGACGCGGACCUCAGGAGCACUGAGAGGGAAAUCAGGGUAGCGCUGAAGCAGGCAGAAGCUGGUGCAGAACUGCCAGCUGUUAGCAGCGGGGAGCAGGGAUGUCGCCUGUGGCCGGCCAGGUGGGAAGCUGCGGCGCCCAGCCCGUCUGGGGACUUGAACCGCGCUGAGGAGAGACUGAAGACGUCGUGUGCUCCCUGGUUGCCAAAAGCCUGUCCCAGGAGGGCAGCCACACAUGCUCUUUGUGGUGGGGGAGGUGGGGGAGCCUUGAAGAUAGCUCAAGUGUCAGCCUCAAGCGCGCCCAACCGAGACCGGGAGGGUGGAAGUGCACAGAGGGCACCGGAAGUGGCUGGGCCGCAGCGGGCACCGGGCUGCUCUGUGGGGAGUGAGGGCAAGAGAGGUGUCAGCAAUGGAGGAGGUGGAGGCCACGGGAGCCUUCCACAGGGCCCUUGAAGGCCGGGGAGGACUCUGACUUUCAGAAGGGAAGGGGCUGCACCAAGUGAGUCAGUGCCAAGGUGCCUCGAAGGGAGAUUCCAGACAAUGGCUGUGUGGGAGAAAGAGGACUCAAGAACACUCCUGGGACUUUGGCCUCAUAAACUUGGUUUUUCUGGAAGCCACAUCUUUGGCAGCCAUUCUUCCAGAUUCUGGGCCUGAAGCAUCCUCCUGCGUCAGGCGAUCUUAGAGCGGGGGAAGGGGCGAAGGACUCCCACAAGUUCCCAGGAUGAGUCUGUGGGAAGCUGGCACCAGCCCAGCCCUCGCUGCUCCUGCCCCUUCUCCCAGCCUGUACCGCGAUGUGGCCACACUCAAGAGCCAGCUGUCCCUCCUGGCCUUGAGGCUUCACAUUGGGAGGCCUCAGCAGUCAUGGUCUCCAGCACUUCAAAACUGAGCAGAUCUCUGGCUGGGCAGGACUGUGGACACAGUGGGUGCACAGACCCUGUUGGAGUUGGGGCGUUGAACCCGCUCUUCUUUAUUUUUAAAUUCUCUUUGGGGAAAGUCCUUUCUUGACGACAGCUAAAGUGUUUCUGACUAGAAAAACUAAACUGUUUCACCUGCGGUAUUAAUUGUCAGAAAAAAACCCAGUCAUGUCCACUGUAAGAUGCUCCAUCCCCCUUUCCAUGGUGGUUUUGUUUGGAAAGCCAGUUGCUGAGUAUCGCAGUGAAUUUCUACUUAACCCAUAGCCAGAGAGCAGAAUUUCCUGUAUUGAAAGAUUCUCUUCUAGCAAGUUACAAGUGUUGGCCAGAAUAGUUCCCUGGUCCUUAUGCUUCAUAUAUAAUUCAUGUUUCCUUUGCUGUCCCUGUGGCUGGAAGAUAACACCUUGCAGUGUUCUGGUUGGUUGGCAUUGGGAAAGCCCAUGUGACAGAGACCAGGCUCAGGACAGCAGCUGGGAGGGAGCAGAGGAGCCAUGGUUGCCCUUCCUCCCUGUGUGGUUCUCAAAUGGACAGUCAUACACCGUGUGAAACUGAAGUCUACUCUCCGCUGUCAUAAGCAGUGCCUCUGUCUUUUAUGUGGAUGUUUGCAAAGUGAUAAGGCAAGAAGGAUGGGUUCAGAAGGCUGUGAAAGAUUGUGGGGAUAAAACAAACCCAGGGUGGCUAAAAUCUGCAAAGACAGAUGGUGGAGCGUGAGAAAGGCGUGGAGCACAAUGGAGACCCCUUCACACCCUGUUCCUUCUGAAGCCCUGUGAGCAUCUCUUGGCAGGCGGAGGAGUUGCUGGGUGUGCCGGGCAGGGCCCUGCCUGGCCGGAUGUGUACCACUGGUGCUGGGAACUGAAGCACUGGUGUGGUGAUGCUUUGUUCAAGAACAACACCACCUCAGACUUGCCUCUCAUGCCGAGAGAUGUGAAAAUGAGGCUGGGCAGCCCGAGCAGGUUGGUUGUCCUGGGACACAACAGAUAGAGGACAGUGACAUGGGCUCAAAGAGGAGCUCGUCCCAAGGCAGUCUUGCUUCCCUUCCACACUGGCAUCUUGAGCCUCCUGUUGGCUCUGAAGGCCUCUUGGAACCUGUUUGGCUGGAAAGGCAUCUCUGUGAGUGAGUGGAUGAAGGGUGUGAAAGCCUGGAAUAGCCGACAGUAGAGACAAGUGCAGUGCUUCCCUGGAUUGCGCAAGACAGCACAGAAAGCUGACAAGAGCAGAAGAGAAGAGGUGGCUCCUGCUUGCUGGUCACUUGUAGCCAAGCCAUCUCCUACUCUAUAAGCAAAAAUCUGUUUAGAAUCUCAAGCAAGGACCAGGAAGCAAGAAGGAAACGACACUUUCCUAGUUGGGCUGCUUUUUAAAAAAAUUCAUGUUAGAAUUUUAUGUGAAACAAAAUAAUGAAGGAAAAACUGAUGUUUGCCCAAUUAUAAAGUCUCUUUCAAGUGAACAAAAGGUAAGUUUAAAGAAAAGACUAAAUUUCAAAGAUUUACUGAGGAACAUAGAAAAUUUUGAAACCAAGUCAAUUAGAUGUGAGACAACUCAUUUAUUACUGGUUCCCUGAAAUUUACUUAAGUAAAAAUAGUUAGUGCCUUUUAUUUCUGUUUUGACAGUUGUUGAAAUCAGAGAAGAUUCAUUGCUGUACUAUUGCCCAAGCUAUUAAGGAGGACAAAUAACAAUUUUAAGUGGACCAGCUACAGUUACAAAAGUUAUUUUGCUGCGUCUUCCUCAGAGGUCUUCUCUUGGUUUUGCUCUUUGGGCCUGUUCUCCUGAUCAGGUUGCAGGCGAGGAUAAGCAUAAGUCCGCAGCGGUGCUCUUAUCUGUGGCCAAAAGUGCCGUUCUGCUUCCCUGCUGAGACGGAUGGAGCCAUUCGGCUCCACAGGCUCGCUUCUCUGUGGGUCCCACUUGCUGAGGUUCGCUGAGUGCAGGUGCCUUUGGUGGCUUCCUCUCCGAGAGCACGCCUGUCAGCGCGUGUUCUUACUCUUUCUCGUUUGAACAGUAUUUGAAAAUCCCAAGCAGUCUGAAUGUGUUAUAUCUCUCCUGGCUGUGAAAGCCCUGGGAAUGUUUUCCUGAGAUUCUAACCAGUUUCCAGAGAACAGAGCUGGAAGUCUUUCCAGGAGGUCCGGGGCGCAGGGCUCAAGGCUCACUGGUGCAGGCUGGGGCGGCUGCACGGUGUCACUGGU